CAGUCGCCACGGUAAUACGAAGGGGGCUAGCGUUGUUCGGAUUUACUGGGCGUAAAGGGCGCGUAGGCGGACUGAUAAGUCAGGGGUGAAAUCCCAAGGCUCAACCUUGGAACUGCCUUUGAUACUGUUUGUCUUGAGUUCGAGAGAGGUAAGUGGAACUGCGAGUGUAGAGGUGAAAUUCGUAGAUAUUCGCAAGAACACCAGUGGCGAAGGCGGCUUACUGGCUCGAAACUGACGCUGAGGCGCGAAAGCGUGGGGAGCAAACAGGAUUAGAUACCCCUGUAGUCCCUGUCUCUUAUAA
rnacentral:rRNA from 1 species